UACAGAGGUGGCAAGCGUUGUUCGGAAUUACUGGGCGUAAAGCGUGCGUAGACGGUUAUUUAAGUCGGGUGUGAAAGCCCCGGGCUCAACCUGGGAAUUGCAUUCGAGACUGAAUAGCUAGGGUGCGGUAGAGGGAAGCGGAAUUUCCGGUGUAGCGGUGAAAUGCGUAGAUAUCGGAAGGAACAUCAGUGGCGAAAGCGGCUUCCUGGACCAGCACCGACGUUCAGGCACGAAGCGUGGGGAGCAAACAGG
rnacentral:rRNA from 1 species